AUCCAAAUGAUGAGUCCCAAAUGGGACGAAAUGCUCGACAUCUUGGAU
rnacentral:hammerhead_ribozyme from 1 species